ensembl:snRNA U6 U6 spliceosomal RNA
GUGCUUGCUCACUCAGGUAACGCGUUUACUAAAACUGGGACCACACAGAGGAGGUUGGCAUGGCCCCUGUGUGAGGAUGCCAUUUGAAAAGCCUUUUUUUUUUUU